rnacentral:rRNA from 1 species
UGGGGAAUAUUGCACAAUGGGGGAAACCCUGAUGCAGCGACGCCGCGUGAGCGAAGAAGGUUUUCGAAUCGUAAAGCUCUGUCCUCUGAGAAGAUAAUGACGGUAUCAUAGGAGGAAGCCCCGGCUAAAUACGUGCCAGCAGCCGCGGUAAUACGUAUGGGGCGAGCGUUGUCCGGAAUUAUUGGGCGUAAAGGGUACGUAGGCGGUCUAUUAAGUCAGGUGUGAAAGCGUGCGGCUUAACCUCAUUAAGCACUUGAAACUGAUAGACUUGAGUGAAGGAGAGGAAAGUGGAAUUCCUAGUGUAGCGGUGAAAUGCGUAGAUAUUAGGAGGAAUACCGGUGGCGAAGGCGACUUUCUGGACUUUUACUGACGCUCAGGUACGAAAGCGUGGGGAGCAAACAGG